AGUACACGUGGGUGAUCUAGCCCCAAACUUCGGGAUAAGGCCUGGGAAACUGGGUCUAAUACCGGAUAUGACCUGCUCCUGCAUGGGGUGGUGGAAAGCUUUUGCGGUUUGGGAUGGGCCCGCGGCCUAUCAGCUUGUUGGUGGGGGUAAAUGGGCCUACCAAGGCGACGACGGGUAGCCGACCUGAGAGGGUGAUCGGCCACACUGGGACUGAGACACGGCCCAGACUCCUACGGGAGGCAGCAGUGGGGAAUAUUGCACAAUGGGCGCAAGCCUGAUGCAGCGACGCCGCGUGAGGGAUGACGGCCUUCGGGUUGUAAACCUCUUUCGCCAGGGACGAAGCGCAAGUGACGGUACCUGGAGAAGAAGCACCGGCCAACUACGUG
rnacentral:rRNA from 1 species